rnacentral:misc_RNA from 1 species
AGGUCUGGUGGCAACUGUAAUGGAAGAAAGUACUAUUGGAGGUAGUAGUGGAAAGGAUGCCCUUCCAUAUGAUUUGCACCUUAUGACAGAGCCAUAUGGUGUCCCCUGCAUGGUGGAGAUAUUCACUUCUUGUGUUCUUUAUUAAAUGUUGUUGAACAUAUGGGAAUGGGUCCCAGAUCUAAUACAAUAGCAUUUGAUGAAGAUGUACCCCUUUUUGCUUUGGGCUUAAUUAAUUCAGCUAUUGAAUUGGGUGGGCCUUCUAUUCGUCGUCAUCCCCGGUUACUGAGUUUGAUCCAGGAUGAAUUAUUUCGUAAUCUGAUGCAGUUUGGCUUGUCAAUGAGCCCACUAAUUCUCUCAAUGGUUUGUAGUAUUGUUCUCAACCUGUAUCACCAUCUGCGUACUGAACUCAAAUUGCAGCUUGAGGCUUUCUUCUCUUGUGUCAUUCUGAGACUUGCACAGAGCAAAUAUGGUGCUUUAUACCAACAGCAAGAGGUUGCUAUGGAGGCUCUUGUAGACUUCUGCAGGCAGAAAACAUUUAUGGUUGAGAUGUAUGCUAAUUUGGAUUGUGACAUAACAUGCAGUAAUGUGUUUGAAGACCUAGCUAAUUUGUUGUCAAAGAAUGCAUUUCCAGUAAACUGCCCUUUGUCUGCAAUGCACAUUCUUGCUUUGGAUGGUCUCAUAGCUGUUAUUCAGGGGAUGGCUGAAAGGAUAGGCAAUGGAUCAGUUAAUUCAGAACAGG